AACGAACGCUGGCGGCAGGCCUAACACAUGCAAGUCGAACGCCCGUAGCAAUACGGGAGUGGCAGACGGGUGAGUAACGCGUGGGAACGUGCCCUUCGGUUCGGAAUAACUCAGGGAAACUUGAGCUAAUACCGGAUACGUCCGUAAGGAGAAAGAUUUAUCGCCGAAGGAUCGGCCCGCGUCGAAUUAGCUAGUUGGUGAGGUAACGGCCCACCAAGGCGACGAUCCGUAGCUGGUCUGAGAGGAUGAUCAGCCACACUGGGACUGAGACACGGCCCAGACUCCUACGGGAGGCAGCAGUGGGGAAUAUUGGACAAUGGGCGAAAGCCUGAUCCAGCCAUGCCGCGUGAGUGAAGAAGGCCUUAGGGUUGUAAAGCUCUUUCAGCGGGGAAGAUAAUGACGGUACCCGCAGAAGAAGCCCCGCUAACUUCGUGCCAGCCGCCGCUGUAAC
rnacentral:rRNA from 1 species